AGUGGCGGACGGGUGAGUAACGCGUGGGUAACCGUGCCUCAUACAGGGGGAUAACAGUUAGAAAUGACUGCUAACACCGCAUAAUAUAGCGAAACCGCAUGAUUUUGCUAUCAAAUAUUUAUAGGUAUGAGAUGGGCCCGCGUCUGAUUAGCUAGUUGGUGGGGUAAAAGCCUACCAAGGCGACGAUCAGUAGCCGGCUUGAGAGAGUGACCGGCCACAUUGGGACUGAGACACGGCCCAAACUCCUACGGGAGGCAGCAGGUGGGGAAUAUUGGACAAUGGGGGAAACCCUGAUCCAGCGAACCGCCGCGUGAGUGAAGAAGUAUUUCGGUAUGUAAAGCUCUAUCAGCAGGGAAGAUAAUGACAGUGCCUGACUAAGAAGCCCCGGCUAACUACGUGCCAGCCGCCGC
rnacentral:rRNA from 1 species